UACGUAGGUGGCAAGCGUUGUCCGGAUUUACUGGGCGUAAAGAGCGCGAAGGCGGUCGUUCAAGUCGCGUGUGAAAGCCCCCGGCUCAACUGGGGAGGGUCACGCGAUACUGAUCGACUCGAAGGCAGGAGAGGGUAGUGGAAUUCCCGGUGUAGUGGUGAAAUGCGUAGAUAUCGGGAGGAACACCAGUGGCGAAGGCGACUACCUGGCCUGUUCUUGACGCUGAGGCGCGAAAGCUAGGGGAGCAAACGGG
rnacentral:rRNA from 1 species